AACAUCGCGCACCUGCGGGAACCUGCGGAAGGAUCAUUACAGAGUUGCAAAACUCCCUAAGCCAUUGUGAACGUUACCUAAACCGUUGCUUCGGCGGGCGGCCCGGGUCCUUCCCGGCGCCCCUCGGCCCUCGCGGGCGCCCGCCGGAGGUAAACCAAACUAUUGCAUUGUAUGGCCUCUCUGAGUCUUCUGUACUGAAUAAGUCAAAACUUUUAACAACGGAUCUCAGAUCGGAAGAGC
rnacentral:misc_RNA from 1 species